rnacentral:rRNA from 1 species
UACGUAGGGCGCAAGCGUUAUCCGGAAUUAUUGGGCGUAAAGAGCUCGUAGGCGGUUUGUCGCGUCUGCCGUGAAAGUCCGGGGCUCAACUCCGGAUCUGCGGUGGGUACGGGCAGACUAGAGUGAUGUAGGGGGAGACUGGAAUUCCUGGUGUAGCGGUGAAAUGCGCAGAUAUCAGGAGGAACACCGAUGGCGAAGGGCGGGUCUCUGGGCCGAUACUGACGCUGAGGAGCGAAAGGCGUGGGGAGCGAACAGG